UUCAAAUACAAAUACAUGCACCAUUAAUAAAGCAGUAGUAUACAGCCAUGGUUAUUUUUCACCUUAUAGUGAACAUUGUGAUAAUUUUAGUGCAUGGGAUAAACUCAGGUGCAGAAGCUCAGGUGGUCACGUUGUCUCCGACCUCUCCCGCUGUGUCAGAGUACAGUCCUCUGACAUUCACUUGUGAAACACAAAGCACAAAAACUGAGCAUGUAAUAUGGAGCAAGCUGGGAGAAUUUCAUUCUAAUUUUGCUAUCGGAACUAUCGUCAUAAAUGGUGACAAUGACUGUUCUCCCCCAUUUCCCUCUCUUGCACCAAACUCCACACUAUACAGUUACGCCUGUCCGGCAACAAACAGACUUACGCUUACACUUAAAAACGUUACGAGGACAGAAAACGGAAACACAUGGAAAUGCCAAGUUGAGGUAGACGGGAAAACAGAACACAGUGAGAUAGCGACAAUUACAGUGCAAGUUGGCAUCACUGGCGUGACGUUAUAUCCAGCCACCGACCCCCUCAACGUAAUAGAGAAUACCGAAACGAUAUUGCAGUGCCGGACAUCGGGCGGGUUACCGGCGGCCUCGGUAAAAUGGUUCAUUCAAAGGACAGGGCAUGUGCAAAACUUCACGUUGCACUCCACGAACACGUACCAAGAGGAGGACAACCUCAACGUGACUCUGAGCACACUUAACUUCACCCCGUUAAAAUCUGACCACAGUGGCCAGAUAUUCUGUUCAGCAAACAAUGUGGGAAUGGAGAAGAAUUCCGCAAAACUGUCUAUAACUGUAUUAUAUGGCCCAAAAUCAGGGACUUUGCAGAACGUUAGGAAAGUCCGCGGGGAAACCUUUGUUUACCAGUGCUUGUACACACCGGGCAACCCCCCAACUGUUGACUUUGAGUGGAUGAGGUCCGGAACAAACGUCUCCUGGAUCAAACAGAAAACACAUAAUUUGACCAUUCCAAACGUGCAGCGCAGUGACGAGGCCAAUUACACGUGCAAGGUGUCAAGUGUUCUCCAGCCAACGUUGUCUUCAGUGACGAUUAUACAGCAUGACACUGCAACAUUUCAUUUAGAUGUUCUUUAUGGAGCGGAAAAUUUGAUAUUACAUCUCAACAACGUUUCUCACGAAUCGGUAGAAAUUGAGGAGCAUUCUUCAAACCAUUUUCGGUGUUUGCUAGAAAGUGACCCGGGUGCGGAAAUGUCUCUUACCAAAGACAGUAGGACGAUAAUUGCAAUACCUGGAGUACACCAACUCACACAUGAACUACAAGCUGAAUGUUCCGAUACAGGAGUGUAUACGUGCUCAGGAUACAAUCAGUAUGGGACAGCGGAUAAUAUGUCAGUGCACUUAUUUGUAAAAUGUUCCGCAAGGCGACCCUCAGGAGUGGAGGUACAGCUUAACUUCACCGCACGCCAAUAUGGAAAUGCAACCUUAGUAUACAAAGUUGUCGCUUAUCCUGUGCCAAAGCACUCACAAUUUGUUUGGAAGCGUUGUUCGAAUGGCAGUUCAUGUGACCUUUUGCCAGAUGAUAUAAACAAAUUUGAAAUUAACACAGAAGGUCUCACAAGUACCUUAACGAUUCUGGAUGUUCAGAUUGAAGAUUACAGAUUGUACCAAUUGUCAGUGUCUAACGGAGUUGGUGAUACACUAGUGGAAUGGUUACACCUUAGACCCAUCGAUCAUACCGAAAGCAGUUCAAGUGCUGGCCCUGUUGUUGGAGGGGCGAUUGGCGGAACGUUUGGAGCGCUCGUGGCCAUAGUUGUCGUCGUUGUCAUUCUCAGACGGAAAAGGGCUCUAAAAUGCAUGGAUUCCUCGGCGGAGAAAAUAGGUAUGCAUAUUUGUUUAGAUAAUUUAAUCUCUUGUAUUCGGUUGCAUAUUUCAGUCGAUUAUCUUGUACGUAUGUUUGUACAUUUCAUAUUCCCUUCAGCUUUAAAUCGGCCAGUUAACCAGUUUAAAUGCGUAUAUUUAAAGACCAAGUUUAAGGAAUGUCUAUCGUGUUAGUCCCCAUCCAUUGUUUCAUGGAUCUUUAGCCACAGCAAGGUGCCAUCUGUUGUUUGUUGGCGAAUUGCCAUUUACAGCUGUGUUUAAAAAGGUCGCAUCAGUUAUGCUCUUACCCAUCAAUAUUCAUUAGUCUGAGGUCUGAUCAGUUAUGCUCUGACUCAUCAAUAUUCAUUAAUCUGAGAUCGGAUCAGUUAUGCUCUGACACAUCAAUAUUCAUUAAUCUGAGAUCAGAUCAGUUAUGCUCUGACUCAUCAAUAUUCAUUAAUCUGAGAUCGGAUCGAUGAUAACAACCAUAAGAGAGCAAGUAAGAUAAGGAUUUAUAAACAACCCUGUAUCAUACCCUGAAUUUGUUGGGGUCACUUAUAGCAGGGCUAAAAUAGGCCUCUUAUGGUAAAAACCGAUAUCGUAUUACAUCGACAGUCAAACCUGUUUUAAGUGUCUUAACUUAGUCCAGGACUUUUCUGACACUUUGGCCAUGUUCAAACAGAGGUCGAUUAUGUAUGUGAACCACCACCUCAAACCACAAUCGGUAUCAUCAGUACCAUUGUUAAUAAAGAAGUUGUAAAAAAAAACUUUAUUGCAAAAUUAUAUUUCGAAUGCCAUAGAUAAAAGCUAAUACAAAGCAAAAACAAAAAACACAAAAAAUCAGUCCACACGACUACAUGUACAUUUUAAGUUGAAUAUUUAAAGUAAUCAGUCAAUUUCGUUUGCUUGACUUCUGUCUGUAAUUUAAAGGGCAUUCGCAUUGAGUCGACAUUAUCAUUUCAAAGCAAGUCACUCUGUGAGUCGAAAACCAUGAAUGUAUGUGUUGAUAUAUGAUAAACAUAAUGAGAAAGCUACAUGUAGCUUGGGCUGUGACCUUCGUACCCUAUUGUAUCAGUUUUGCCUGGCCUGUUCAAUUUAUAUGCUUUCAGAACAAUGCAUGUGAGUUACAUUUUAGUACUUUUAUAUCACAUACAAAAUUUCGUUUUGAAUUCAUCAGUUCAGUACAUUAAGGAAUUAUUUGUAAUUUCGGGUUAAAAGGGUUCAUUUAAUGUAUUUUUAACUAAAUACCGGUAGGUUGUUUUUUCAAUUUACUUUCAUGUAGCUUUAAAUCAACUCAUUUGACGAUAUGAAGAACGUCAUAUGCUUAUUGAGAACUGAAAACUUAUUGUUUAUUCGAAUUAGAGUUAUAUGUGUUUUUAAGUUCAUGUUCAGAUUUAUAGUCAAGCAAAUAGGCAAGCACACUAUAACUUAUUCAACUAUUUCAAAGUGUAUGAUAUAUUUCAACCUCAUUCUUUAUUUCAGAUGAUUCUGCUGGACAAUCCGUGUAAGAAUUUGCAAAUUCGAGAAGAAGGUUUAUUCUUAAACACAUUAAUGGAUUUUUAUCAGCCUGUUUUGACAAUCUGUAAAAGAAAACCCAGGACAUAAUGCAGCCAAGGCAGAUGCGGACGUGCCAACGGAUACAUCAGUUUACGAUGCUCUUAAAGCUGGAGACAAUGGACCCGAUAAUUCGCAUGUGUAUAUGCCGUUGGAUGUGUC